rnacentral:rRNA from 1 species
UGUGGUUAUCGGUUUUAGAAAGCGAUAACUAAAGCAGCAAGUGCGCGUUUGGGAGGGAUCUGCGUCCCAUCAGCUAGUUGGUGAGGUAACGGCUCACCAAGGCGACGACGGGUAGGGACCUGAGGAGGGUCGGCCCCCCACAAUGGAACUGAAACACGGUCCAUACACCUACGGGUGGCAGCAGUAGGGAAUAUUGCUCAAUGGGCGAAAGCCUGAAGCAGCAACGCCGCGUGUGCGAUGAAGGCCUUCGGGUCGUAAAGCACUUAUCUAAGAGAUGAGAAAGGACAGUAUCUUAGGAAUAAGUCUCGGCUAACUACGUG